rnacentral:rRNA from 1 species
CCCCACGCCGCAAGACCAAGGAUUCCCCGGCAAUGUCAAUCAGCCGGGGGUCAGCCGGCCUCUAAGGCUAACCCGAAUGGGGACGCCGACGAGAAACGGGUUAACAUUCCCGUGCUUCUCGUCACCGUGACGCGGUGACGGGGUGAUGAAUGGACCGCGCGCUGACGGAAUAGCGCGUUGAAGGCCGUACCCUUUGACGGUGGUAGUCAAGCACGCCACCGGAGGCGAAAGUCGAUAGUACCUCGAGGCCUCGGCCGAGGGGAUAGCGUCCAGGCAAUUUACCCCCGAGAAAACCCGCUAAACUUCAAGUGACGAGGAACCGUACUGUAAACGGACACACGUGGUCGGGUAGAACAUACCAAGGCGCUCGAGUGAUUCAUGGUCAAGGAACUAGGCAAAAUAGUCCUGUAACCUCGGGAAAAAGGACGCUCUAGUGAUAGAGCCGCAGAGUAAUGGCCCAGGCGACUGUUUACCAAAAACACAUGGCUAUGCCAAAUCGAAAGAUGACGUAUAUGGCCUGACACCUGCCCGGUGCCGGAAGGUUAAGAGGAGAGCUCAGGGGUGACCCGAAGGUUCGAAUUGAAGCCCCGGUAAACGGCGGCCGUAACAAUAACGGUCCUAAGGUAGCGAAAUUCCUUGUCGGGUAAGUUCCGACCUGCACGAAUGGUGUAACGAUCUGGGCACUGUCUCGACCAUGAGCUCGGUGAAAUUGUAGUUCCGGUGAAGAUGCCGGGUACCCGCGACGGGACGGAAAGACCCCGUGAACCUUUACUGCAGCUUCGCGUUGUUCCCGGGCACGGGACGUUAGGAUAGGUCGGAGGCAAUGAAGCGGUUUCGCCAGGAAUCGUGGAGCCAUCGUUGAAAUACGACCCUUCUCUUGUCUGGGAUCUAACCCGUUUAACGGGGACACCGCGUAGUGGGUAGUUUGACUGGGGUGGUCGCCUCCAAAAGCGUAACGGAGGCUUCCAAAGGUACCCUCGGGUUGGUUGGUAAUCAACCUAGGAGUGCAAUGGCACAAGGGUGCUUGACCGGGAGACUCACAAGUCGAUCGGGUGCGAAAGCAGGGCAUAGUGAUCCGGUGAUCCCGCGUGGAAGGGUCAUCGCUCAAAGGAUAAAAGGUACUCCGGGGAUAACAGGCUGAUCGCCCCCAAGAGCUCAUAUCGACGGGGCGGUUUGGCACCUCGAUGUCGGCUCGUCACAUCCUGGGGCUGGAGAAGGUCCCAAGGGUUCGGCUGUUCGCCGAUUAAAGUGGCACGCGAGCUGGGUUCAGAACGUCGUGAGACAGUUCGGUCCCUAUCUGUCGUGGGCGUUGAGAUUCGAGAGGUCCUGACUCUAGUACGAGAGGACCGGGUUGGACGCGCCGCUAGUGAACCUGUUAUGACGCCAGUCGUACGGCAGGGUAGCCACGCGCGGACGGGAUAAGCGCUGAAAGCAUCUAAGCGCGAAGCCUGCCUCGAGAUGAGAUCUCCUUGCAGGGUCGUCGUAGACGACGACGUCGAUAGGCCACAGGUGUAAAGCCGGUGACGGCAAAGCCGAGUGGUACUAAUCACCC